AUUGAACGCUGGCGGCAGGCCUAACACAUGCAAGUCGAGCGGAUGAGAGGAGCUUGCUCCUCGAUUCAGCGGCGGACGGGUGAGUAAUGCCUAGGAAUCUGCCCAGUAGUGGGGGACCACGGUUCGAAAGGAACGCUAAUACCGCAUACGUCCUACGGGAGAAAGUGGGGGAUCUUCGGACCUCACGCUAUUGGAUGAGCCUAGGUCGGAUUAGCUAGUUGGUAGGGUAAAGGCCUACCAAGGCGACGAUCCGUAACUGUUCUGAGAGGAUGAUCAGUCACAGUGGAACUGAGACACGGUCCAGACUCCUACGGGAGGCAGCAGUGGGGAAUAUUGGACAAUGGGCGCAAGCCUGAUCCAGCCAUGCCGCGUGUGUGAAGAAGGCCCUCGGGUCGUAAAGCACUUUAAGUUGGGAGGAAGGGCUUACAGCGAAUACCUGUGAGUUUUGACGUUACCGACAGAAUAAGCACCGGCUAACUUCGUGCCAGCCGCCGCUGUAA
rnacentral:rRNA from 1 species